rnacentral:miRNA from 1 species
CUUCCAGUAGCACCUUAGAGACCAACUAAGUUUGUUGUUGAUAUGAGCUUUCGUGUGCAUGCACACUUCUUCAGAUACACGAAAGCUCAUACCAGUAAAAAACUUAGUUGGUCUCUAAGGUGCUACUGGAAG